rnacentral:rRNA from 1 species
UCUUAUAUGGAGAGUUUGAUCCUGGCUCAGGACGAACGCUGGCGGCGUGCCUAAUACAUGCAAGUCGAGCGGACGGAUGGGAGCUUGCUCCCAGACCGUCAGCGGCGGACGGGUGAGUAACACGUGGGCAACCUGCCUGUAAGACUGGGAUAACUCCGGGAAACCGGGGCUAAUACCGGAUAAUCCUUUUCCUCACAUGAGGAAAAGCUGAAAGAUGGCAUCUCGCUAUCACUUACAGAUGGGCCCGCGGCGCAUUAGCUAGUUGGUGAGGUAACGGCUCACCAAGGCCACGAUGCGUAGCCGACCUGAGAGGGUGAUCGGCCACACUGGGACUGAGACACGGCCCAGACUCCUACGGGAGGCAGCAGUAGGGAAUCUUCCGCAAUGG